rnacentral:rRNA from 1 species
AUUGAACGCUGGCGGCAGGCCUAACACAUGCAAGUCGAGCGGAUGAGUGGAGCUUGCUCCAUGAUUCAGCGGCGGACGGGUGAGUAAUGCCUAGGAAUCUGCCUGGUAGUGGGGGACAACAUUUCGAAAGGAACGCUAAUACCGCAUACGUCCUACGGGAGAAAGUGGGGGAUCUUCGGACCUCACGCUAUCAGAUGAGCCUAGGUCGGAUUAGCUAGUUGGUGAGGUAAAGGCUCACCAAGGCGACGAUCCGUAACUGGUCUGAGAGGAUGAUCAGUCACACUGGAACUGAGACACGGUCCAGACUCCUACGGGAGGAAGCGGUGGGGAAUAUUGGACAAUGGGCGAAAGCCUGAUCCAGCCAUGCCGCGUGUGUGAAGAAGGUCUUCGGAUUGUAAAGCACUUUAAGUUGGGAGGAAGGGCAGUAAGUUAAUACCUUGCUGUUUUGACGUUACCAACAGAAUAAGCACCGGCUAACUUCGUGCCAGCAGCCGCCGUAAUAC